CAACCUAAAUCUACCUACAACCCAGCCCCCACAGCAAGUCCCUAUUCAAUAACAAUGGUACCAGCCCAAAACAGCCUGAAUCCGUCCACUAACCCAACCCCACAAAUCUGCCGACCCAAAACAACCCAAAAUCCCUACCGACCCGGCCUACAUCCCAUAUUCUCUUUCUCCCCUUAUCUGUAUCACAACAACAACACACAAACACACCCCAAUAACAGCGUACAUAUCAACGGCAGAACCCGUAACAAUGACAACAAUAGUCAAGAACGCUAACAACGCUAACAACGUUCAAACACGCAUACAACAGCAAUUCCAACGCGCACAACCACCAACAACUUCAGCGUAAACAACGACAACAACUCCAUUAAACCUAGCUUCCCAAUUUACUAUUUUAUCCCUCUCGUGCAAGCCAUUUAUGGCUAAGAAAUCAGGCGCUUUCAUGAUUUUCAGUACAUGGUUCAGUAUUUCGAGCAAAAAAUUAAUUAACCCCUUUGACCAACACAGUCAACGUCCCCUUUUCUCCAUUUAUCCACUGAUUUCUAAGUACAAGGCCAUUAAUGGUUUUUUCCUACAGUGGAUUUCAAAAAUUUCCCAAGAAAAUCACUUAAAUUCAGAUUUGAAAUCCAUAACCCUAACCUUUUCCCCCCAAAUUUCCCUAUUAUAGAUAGUGAGGGAUAAGGGUGAAAAGGAGGAUUUUGGGGGGGGGGGGGGGGGGGGGGGGGAUUUGAGUAUUUUGAAGGAGCAUUCCUUUAAUACCACGUAACUAAGAGUCCACAAAUAAAAUACGUUUAAUUUAUGAAAAACAAUUUGAAUUUCGUCGAAGCCUUGUUUGAAUUCCGGUGUGUUGGAAUCUCUAACUCAGCCGGAAGUCCCGAUCGCUGCCCAAAAACAGGGCCGUCACAUGUGAUCCUUUGCAUUUUCCUAGGCCAAUAAGGCCCAUUCCAUUGAGUUAAGCCUCAUUGAAGCCCGAAAAUGGACUGAUAUACAUCAUCGGGCAUUGGUAUACAAGAUGGUAUACACUUGUAUACAGUGGAUAUACAUUGGGAUAACUGAAUCUGAACAUACUGCAUGGUGCACUUAACAAAAUGUAAGUAGACGCGCUGAUUCAUACAUUGAUAUACAGAGUAUAGGCGGUAGUAUACCAAAAAACGCAAAGAAAAGGAGGUGUGUUAUACAACUGGUAUACAUGCAGGGAAAUGGACCUAAAAUCCAUAAAAUUGCAAACCCAAAGGCUGGGCAGCUCGCUGAUGGGCCAAAAAGGGCUCAACUCCAACUUUAAUCUUUUAUUCUCUUAUAAAUUGCAAUUUAUGCUUGUUUAUUUUCACUAACUUAAAUUAAUUAAUACAGUGUUUCCCCA